GUAGGUCAGCUCUGAGCUGGGAUGCCCAACGCGUUGCCACGUGGGACUUCAACCUAAAAGAGGGGAAGUAGCUGGGCUUGGCAGAGCAGCAGCUCUUUCUUGGAAGGCAUCAAUGGAGAACUGCAGUCACCCCCAAGAUGCCGGAAUGCCACAGUGGGAGCAGCUCCAUCAGGAGAAGGUCGCAGCUGGGAACUCAGAAGAGUGCUCUGGGAAAACCUGCUCCUCAGCAGGGGAGAUGUCCUUCAGAAACACACAAUGCAAGAGUUUGUGUCAUGGGACAGGAAAUAGGGCCAAAGGAACAGCCACAGCCCCUGAGGUGUUACCCCCACAUAACCAGCCUUGGCUUUGUGCACUAAUUUGGGAAGGAAGGAAACGUCUUACACAGAGCCAGCUGAGCAGGCAGUGUGCUUCUGGUUAAUGCUGCCGACCAGCUGUAGUGCAGGAGAAGCCAAUGGGAGCAGGCAGGACUGCUCUGAGCUCCAGGAAAGCAUCACCAGGUCCCCUCUCUGCCCCACUCCUUCAUCCAGGUGGUAACUCCGCCUUAGGGCUGCGUUCCCAUGUCAAGGAUGGAAGACACUGGAGACUAAAAGCCCUCUGUGACCAUGAUGCUUAAUGAAGACUUUCCCAAGUGAGGUCCAAAUCAACAGCUGAAUGAACUCCAGCACUAAAACCAUCUCAAGUUUGGUAGUCAGCUCCUCCACGUUGUCUCCUUUCCUUCCCGUGUAAUAAUCUCACUGAAACUGCUUUUGUUACACGAGCCCAUUCCUGCUUUUUGUGCAGCACCAUGAGUGCCCACCAGCACGAGUUCCACGGCAGGACCUCAGGAACCCCUUCAGUUAUCGUGCCCUUCCCAUCGCCUUUUGUCCUCUCUCUUAGCCCCAUCCUCACACCAUUUCUAAUCCCCGCCUCCCCCAGGUACUACCUAACGCCAGCAAUGGAAUACUGUGCUACAGCUGCGGUUUGAGAAGACUCAUAACAGCGACAGUCACAGCAGUGUGGCAGAUGUAUCCUCAGUAAACACACCCCCUUCACUCAGCUGCCCACCAGCUGCAUUCUGCAGCGCAGUAUGUUUGAGAACAUCUAGGCAGCACCAGCCUUUCUUUCCCUCUAUUCCCCUCAUCAUGCAGUUACUCCGGUAACUGCUCUACAAACACAUACCCAGGGUGGAUACUCCGUCAGCUUUUUCCUCCCCAGAACUCAUCACUUAAAAAUCCCAGGGGAAAGAUUGUUUGCUUUCUGAAAUUUGCACACGCUUUUUCAUUUCCACGUUGCUGAAUUAUCUCAGUGUGGCUCAGCGCGUCUCCCUCUCCACCUCACCCAAAACUGAACACCAUCCCCUACAUGAGGAGCAAGAAGAGGGGUGCCGAGUGCUGUUCUGUAACUCUGGAAUCCCACCCCACACUGAUGCAGUGGUUUCAUGUCAUUUUCUUCUCACGCUUUCAAAAUAAUUUGCAGCUAUUUUCAUCUCCGUGAAAGAUGAAUGGCUUUGAGCCAUUCUCAACUCCACCCUGACACCUCGUUCUCAUUUUUAGUUAAGUCAAACAAACAGCUCUUCUCAUCCAUCAGCCUCUUCCAUUUCACGUUUCCUGGGUCAAAUUGCAAGAUGUUGCAGUGGGGUCUGACACGUUAUUUAAAACCCCAAGGCUCCUCGGUGAAAUUAUCAUCACCAGUCAGCAAUAAGGUAAGGAAUAACUUCAUUGAAAUGAAGAACUUCACUGUGUUGCAAAACUUGAGUUGACUCAAAUCAGGAUUAGAUCUCAAGCUGAGGUUUUGCCGUGAGUAGCUCAGAUCAGUGUUUAGCACAACCUUCACCCAAACUUCCAACUAUGGAGGGAAGCAUCUCUAACCCUGCCUCGCUUUCAGUGCUACAUGAACAGGACUUCCAUAAUUAUCUUCCCACGGUACACAGAAGCAGGAAUAAAUGCAGUCGUGUCACGGGAUGUUGGCAGAAAACACCCAACCAUACUUACAGUUGGAGAAUCACAGAAUUGCUCAGGUUGGAAAAGACCUUAACGAUCAUCGAGCACAACCAUGACCUAACCCUACUACCCUCAUUAACAACCCUUCAUUAAAUCAUGUCCCUGAGCACCACAUCCAAAUGGUUUUUAAACACAUCCAGGGAUGGU